rnacentral:rRNA from 1 species
GACGUAGGAAGCAAGCGUUGUCCGGAAUUACUGGGCGUAAAGGGUGCGUAGGCGGUCUUUUAAGUCUGAUGUGAAAUCCUGUGGCUUAACCAUAGAACUGCAUCAGAUACUGGGGGACUGGAGUGCGGAAGAGGUUGACGGAAUUACUAGUGUAGCGGUAGAAUGCGUAGAUAUUAGUAAGAAGACCGGAGGCGAAGGCGGUCAACUGGGACGUAACUGACGCUGAGGCACGAAAGCGUGGGGAGCAAACAGG